rnacentral:rRNA from 1 species
GGCGGCGAGGUGAGUAACGCGUGGGUAACCUGCCUCAUACAGGGGGAUAACAGUUGGAAACGGCUGCUAAUACCGCAUAAGCGCACAGUACCGCAUGGUACGGUGUGAAAAACUCCGGUGGUAUGAGAUGGACCCGCGUCUGAUUAGGUAGUUGGUGGGGUAACGGCCUACCAAGCCGACGAUCAGUAGCCGACCUGAGAGGGUGACCGGCCACAUUGGGACUGAGACACGGCCCAA